UUGAUAACACUGGAGACUGAAGUCCAUUUUUAUCCAUAAGACAGUUACAGCAUGGGCAGCAGCACUUCAAGCUUACCACUUCCCCCACAGUCAUAGACCUUUAACCGUAAUUCAAUAGGAUCAUCUUUAGAAGCAAAAGAGUAGGUCCAUUUCCAUGCCAACAUAAUCCUUUGACUUU
rnacentral:sRNA from 1 species